CGCACACACACACACACACACACACACACACACACACACACACACACACACANNNNNNNNNNUUUCUAUUCAAGCCACCUCAGAGUUAAACAAUAUUUUCUGUUAGUGAAACUGUAGCUUUUGGAAUAGAUGUAGGCUUCGUGCUACAUGCUAGCUCCUUCAUUCGUCAUGCCUAGCUCCUUCCUUCGAAGGAAGGAGCUAGGCAUGACGGCUCAUGUCUGCAGUUCUAACAGGAGGAGGCUGAGGCAGAAUGGUUGCAAUUUUGAGGCCAGCCUGAACUACACAGUGAGACUUUAUCUCAAGGAAAGGAAAGGAGGAGAAAACUAAAAGAUGGAAGACGUGGAGGAAGAGGAGGAGAAGGAGGAGAGCACCCCAGGAAGGCCUGGACCGUUCGUAGGACAAAGAUGGAGCUGGUCACCAGGACUGUUGGCAUGUGAUGACAUGAAGAAUAAAGAGGAAAACUCAUUGUUCACUCAUUUUCCAUUGCCAAGAUAUAUUAAUAUGCCAAGACAAUUGCCCAUAGGCAAUUUCAUCUGCAGUUGAGCUACUUGA
rnacentral:lncRNA from 1 species